rnacentral:rRNA from 1 species
UACGUAGGGUGCGAGCGUUAAUCGGAAUUACUGGGCGUAAAGCGUGCGCAGGCGGUUUUGUAAGCCAGGUGUGAAAUCCCCGGGCUCAACCUGGGAAUGGCAUUUGGGACUGCAAGGCUGGAGUGCGGCAGAGGAGACUGGAAUUCCUGGUGUAGCAGUGAAAUGCGUAGAUAUCAGGAGGAAUACCGAUGGCGAAGGCAGGUCUCUGGGCUGACACUGACGCUCAUGCACGAAAGUGUGGGGAGCAAACAGG